AUAGAUUAUAAUCGGCGCGGCGAACCUUGAUCCCUAUGACAGUUCGUGUUAGUGAUGGGUCGUGUCUUUGGUCGUAUCGAUUUUUUUUUUAGACAAAUGCGUGGCUUGCAUUCAUCCACGUUGGUAAACAUGUUUUAAAAAAUAUUAUAAUGUGCAUUUUUAAUGUGCAUUAUGUUGUUGUUGUAUUAAUUUCAGAUUUUUGGCAUAGAUUAAGUAGGUAAGUAAAACGAAAGUUUCCAACCUUGUUAUUUUCUAAUAAUGUUUAACCCGGUAAACACGUUUUUGCUAUAUAAGUAUAUAUUUUAUCAUGAAAAUGAAUGUUCCCAAUUUAUUUAUUUUGUCUGAAAAAAAAUUGUUACUAUAACCUACAAUAGGCUAUAAUAAUAUUAUAGGAUAUUUUUAGAUAUAGCCACACUAUUUGGUCGGUUACUACGACGCGACGCGCGCGAUCGCUCUUGCCGAUAUCGAUACUUGCCGCCCUAGUCGAUAAUGGUCACACGACGUAAGUUUUGCAGGACGUAAACAUAAAUUCAGAUUGAGAUAACUUCUUGUAAAUGUUAAGAAUUGUUAAAAAUAUCAACGGAAUAUCAUUUCUAAUGGUAUAAAGCUACGUAAAAUUUAUAAAUGGCAUUUUUAGACGCCCCCAAUAUGAUCCCAAUUUAAUGGUGACGCCACUACAAUGUUAUAUGGUGACAUUAGCUGUCAGUGUCAUAGGGAUCAAGGUUCGCCGCGCCGACUAUAGAGUAAAUUUGAUU